UACAGAGGUCCCAAGCGUUGUUCGGAUUCACUGGGCGUAAGGGUGCGCAGGUGGGUUUGCAAGUUCGAUGUGAAAGCCCCGGGCUUAACCCGGGAAUGGCAUUGGAUACUGCAGAUCUGGAGGAUCGGAGGGGGGACUGGAAUUCUUGGUGUAGCAGUGAAAUGCGUAGAUAUCAAGAGGAACACCAGUGGCGAAGGCGAGUCCCUGGACGGUACCUGACACUGAGGCACGAAAGCUAGGGGAGCGAACGGG
rnacentral:rRNA from 1 species